UACGUAGGGGGCAAGCGUUGUCCGGAAUCAUUGGGCGUAAAGCGCGUGUAGGCGGCUUGGUAAGUCUGCUCUGAAAGCCCGGGGCUCAACCCCGGGAGGCGGGUGGAUACUGUCAAGCUCGAGUCCGGAAGAGGAGUGUGGAAUUCCUGGUGUAGCGGUGAAAUGCGCAGAUAUCUGGAGGAAUACCGGUGGCGAAGGCGGCAUCCUGGACCAUUACUGACGCUGAGGCGCGAAAGCUAGGGGAGCAAACGGG
rnacentral:rRNA from 1 species